AAAAAUUAUGUAAUUUAUAAACAUGAAAUAGAUAUGGAUGUUAGGUAAUACCGGAUGUUAAAUUAAUAUAUAAAUAUUUAACUUAAUACGUACAUUAUUAUUUUAUUAAUUUAUCGUCACACGUCAUUUACCAGUUGCCUAAUUACGAAAAGUUUCAUAUGAUAUUAACCUCAAAAAUGAUCUUUGAAAACAAACAACAACAAAUAACUCAAAGAAAUAACUACAUACUACAUAAUAAUAACUGAUAAUAAUGACUUUUAAUGGUAUAAAGGCUGAUGAAGUUUUAGACAACCAAUACAAGAUUCAGAACUCGGCAUCGCGAUAAACAAGUAAAAUUGUACAUUCAGGAACUCGUUUAAAUAUUAUAGGUUGAUUGAAGAAUAAUCUACAAUUGAUUAGAGCCUAUGACGAUGCGAAGAUAAUUAAUCACCUAACUUUAAGAAACCAGCCUAAAGAAGUUUACAUGCAUCUCAUCUAACCAUUAUAGGUAAUAAUUUACAAAAUUAGUCAUUUUUGAUUAUAAUAUUAUGGUACUUAGGUACAUUUUAUCUUCUAGAUCAGUAGU